rnacentral:rRNA from 1 species
AUGAAGGACGUUACUAACGACGAUAUGCUUUGGGGAGCUGUAAGUAAGCUUUGAUCCAGAGAUUUCCGAAUGGGGAAACCCAGCAUGAGUUAUGUCAUGUUAUCGAUAUGUGAAUACAUAGCAUAUCAGAAGGCACACCCGGAGAACUGAAACAUCUUAGUACCCGGAGGAAGAGAAAGAAAAUUCGAUUCCCUUAGUAGCGGCGAGCGAAACGGGAAGAGCCCAAACCAACAAGCUUGCUUGUUGGGGUUGUAGGACACUCUAUACGGAGUUACAAAGGACGACAUUAGACGAAUCAUCUGGAAAGAUGAAUCAAAGAAGGUAAUAAUCCUGUAGUCGAAAAUGUUGUCUCUCUUGAGUGGAUCCUGAGUACGACGGAGCACGUGAAAUUCCGUCGGAAUCUGGGAGGACCAUCUCCUAAGGCUAAAUACUCUCUAGUGACCGAUAGUGAACCAGUACCGUGAGGGAAAGGUGAAAAGCACCCCGGAAGGGGAGUGAAAUAGAACCUGAAACCGUGUGCUUACAAGUAGUCAGAGCCCGUUAAUGGGUGAUGGCGUGCCUUUUGUAGAAUGAACCGGCGAGUUACGAUUUGAUGCAAGGUUAAGCAGUAAAUGUGGAGCCGUAGCGAAAGCGAGUCUGAAUAGGGCGUUUAGUAUUUGGUCGUAGACCCGAAACCAGGUGAUCUACCCUUGGUCAGGUUGAAGUUCAGGUAACACUGAAUGGAGGACCGAACCGACUUACGUUGAAAAGUGAGCGGAUGAACUGAGGGUAGCGGAGAAAUUCCAAUCGAACCUGGAGAUAGCUGGUUCUCUCCGAAAUAGCUUUAGGGCUAGCCUCAAGUGAUGAUUAUUGGAGGUAGAGCACUGUUUGGACGAGGGGCCCCUCUCGGGUUACCGAAUUCAGACAAACUCCGAAUGCCAAUUAAUUUAACUUGGGAGUCAGAACAUGGGUGAUAAGGUCCGUGUUCGAAAGGGAAACAGCCCAGACCACCAGCUAAGGUCCCAAAAUAUAUGUUAAGUGGAAAAGGAUGUGGCGUUGCCCAGACAACUAGGAUGUUGGCUUAGAAGCAGCCAUCAUUUAAAGAGUGCGUAAUAGCUCACUAGUCGAGUGACACUGCGCCGAAAAUGUACCGGGGCUAAACAUAUUACCGAAGCUGUGGAUUGUCCUUUGGACAAUGGUAGGAGAGCGUUCUAAGGGCGUUGAAGCAUGAUCGUAAGGACAUGUGGAGCGCUUAGAAGUGAGAAUGCCGGUGUGAGUAGCGAAAGACGGGUGAGAAUCCCGUCCACCGAUUGACUAAGGUUUCCAGAGGAAGGCUCGUCCGCUCUGGGUUAGUCGGGUCCUAAGCUGAGGCCGACAGGCGUAGGCGAUGGAUAACAGGUUGAUAUUCCUGUACCACCUAUAAUCGUUUUAAUCGAUGGGGGGACGCAGUAGGAUAGGCGAAGCGUGCGAUUGGAUUGCACGUCUAAGCAGUAAGGCUGAGUAUUAGGCAAAUCCGGUACUCAUUAAGGCUGAGCUGUGAUGGGGAGAAGACAUUG